rnacentral:rRNA from 1 species
GCAAGUCGACGAUGAAGCUGGAGCUUGCUCCGGCCGAUUAGUGGCGAACGGGUGAGUAACACGUGAGCAAUCUGCCCUUGACUCUGGGAUAACUGCGGGAAACUGUAGCUAAUACCGGAUACUUUCCUCGCUGGGCAUCCAGCGGGGAAGAAAGAAUUUCGGUCAAGGAUGAGCUCGCGGCCUAUCAGCUAGUUGGUGAGGUAAAGGCUCACCAAGGCGACGACGGGUAGCCGGCCUGAGAGGGUGACCGGCCACACUGGAACUGAGACACGGUCCAGACUCCUACGGGAGGCAGCAGUGGGGAAUAUUGCACAAUGGGCGAAAGCCUGAUGCAGCAACGCCGCGUGAGGGAUGAAGGCCUUCGGGUUGUAAACCUCUUUUAGCAGGGAAGAAGCGAAAGUGACGGUACCUGCAGAAAAAGCACCGGCUAACUACGUGCCAGCAGCCGCGGUAAUACGUAGGGUGCAAGCGUUGUCCGGAAUUAUUGGGCGUAAAGAGCUCGUAGGCGGUUUGUCACGUCUGCUGUGAAAAUCCGAGGCUCAACCUCGGACUUGCAGUGGGUACGGGCAGGCUAGAGUGCGGUAGGGGAGAAGGGAAUUCCUGGUGUAGCGGUGGAAUGCGCAGAUAUCAGGAGGAACACCGAUGGCGAAGGCACUUCUCUGGGCCGUAACUGACGCUGAGGAGCGAAAGCGUGGGGAGCGAACAGGAUUAGAUACCCUGGUAGUCCACGCCGUAAACGGUGGGUGCUAGCUGUGGGCCACA